UUGUCAGCUACUAUGCCAUUGCUCAGGUAUUCCACCACACCUGUUGGCAAGAGGAAGGGUUUAGGGAGUUGCUUUGAAAGGCAACUUUGGCCUGGGAAUGUUAAAAACCAGAACACCACAAAGACGUGCCACGAGAUCAGAGUUAGCAAAGCAAACCCCUCUCCUCAGAAAGUCUUCAUCAGGAACUCACAUCUUUCCUACUUCUUAUUGCUGCUUUAGGCACAGGUAUUUAUUUAAUGAUUUAUUUAAGAUCUAACUGUGCUUUCCUACACUUUUGAAGGUGCAACCAGCUCUCCUGCAGCGUCCAGCUGAGCGCGAAAAGCAGGCGACUCAACCGGAGGACUCGCAGUCUCUGCAGCCAGAUUUCCAAAGGCAGCUGUUCCUAGGAAAGCUUUCAUCUGUACCUCCCCAGGGAGUGCAAAGCAGCCCCAUUGCCUUCAGAGGAAAAAGUGGACUCCAAUGGUCUAAGAAGAUUUAGAAGUGCCACAAAAAUAAUCCUGCACAUUGAAUAAUCUGCUGAAGAAGGGGGGGUAAAUCCUCGCAUGGUUCAGCCAUCUCUUUUCCAAGAACCUCACCCCAUUCCUGCAGUGCCUUAACUUGGGAGACAUUGAGUGGCAAAGCAGAAGGCUCAGUUACAGAACCACAAAGCAGGACUGAAGUCAGCCUCUCUAUAUGGAUGAGUCAAACUGCCAAAGCAUUUUGGAAACAAUCCAGCAGCCAGCCCUGAGUCGCUCCUCCUUCCUCUGAGCACAGCUGACUGUCCAUCCCCUUCCAUAUGGUGAUCCCUCCCAGGAAUUACCCAUCCUGCUGGCUGAUGGGGCGUGCGCGUGUGUACACACACGUUGCUGAACGCUGGCAAGUCGGGCUGAAAGCUGGAAAAGAGCACCAUUUUUAUCUGUUUAUCUAAAUGUCUAUUUAUGUGUUUUGUAAUCAGUCCUGAGCGGCUGCAAAGGCGGCAGAGGAAGGCUGCUCGUCUGCACUGCUCUGCUUUUAGGAGAGUGUGACAAAAGCCUCCCCAUUUCAGCCUCCCCAAGGAGAAGAGAAGCACAGCCAGUACCCACAAAUACAAAAACGGGCUUGGAGUACUCUGGGGGGGAGGAAAAUCAGGUGAUUGUUCAAGGGUGUAUGUUAAAGAGGAUUUAAGGAAACCUGCCAAUACUGGGGUAUGUACAGAUGUGUUAGCUGAAGGUAAACUAUUUGCUGUGUCCCUGCAUACAGUAUCUAGCGUGUAUAUACUAGCAAGAAAAUAUUGGAGAAUGGGGAAUUUUGGUGGUCUUUUGUGUGGAUCCGAGCUUUUUUCAUGGUGCUUUCCUGCAGGAAUAUGUCCAACCACCUCUGUGUACACUGCCUCUCCCAAGAAUUCAAUGAGCACCCCAAGUCUGCCAUGGCAGGUACUGUCUCUUUCCAGAUUCUUAUUCCAAGUACCCUGACUGGGAUAGAGAUUAGCAGAGAAUCAAAUACAAAUGCCUCAUCGUGUUUUUUCUAUUAAAAAAGCCCCAAACAAUAAAAAACAGUGUUUGAGGAGAUCUGAAACAAUUCCUGAGGUAAGUCUGACACAGAGCACAAGCAAAUUCAAGUGGGGAAUAGGUAAAGGUAAGAGGUAACCAUUUACCUGCAGUAAAUUCAGUGGUGCUGGGAUCCCAGGGGGCUCCACGUUAUCUCUUCAACAGAGAUCAUAAAAGCCCAGAGAAGCACAGGCAAGUCACAGAAGCAAACAGCAAAAGCCAAGGGGAGGAGUGGGAAGGGAGGGAACGAGCUCUAUUUGAUUAAUUCCAGAGCCAACUGGCACUUGCUUGAUGGAAAUGCUAAUUGUCCCACUGACAUACACCCACUAGUUAUUCCCCCCAUUCCCUCAUCUCCUGUAAAUGAAGCAGUCUUUUCUUAAAUCACAGGUAACACAAGAAUACCCAGGCUUCCACCCUUCCUUUUCCUCCAUGUCACACCCCCACUUACGAGAGCAGCUGAACUAUGUACUGCAUGGAAACCCUACACAGCGUUACAUAGCUGCUUUUUAUUGCUCUGCUUGGUUAAGAGUCACUCCUCACUCCAAAAGAACAGCUCCCGCCCCGUUGGAAGCAGCCUGUUACCUCUCAGUGUGCGCAUGACAACUCCUGAAUAUCCACAUCACUGAGUGAUACCUGCCUUUGUCUGCGGGUGCCUUUUACACUUUCUACUUCCAGAGCAGCUCCUGGGGCUGCUUUACAUGCAAACGCAGGGCAGGCUGCUCCCAAAAAGUAAGGCUUUGCUUACCAGAAAUGCAUGCAAGGGGCUACUGUAGGGCAAGAAGUGUUUCCAGCAGCCAGCCUGUAAAUAAAUCUCAUCAGAAGCCCCCAAAGGGCUGGUUUAAACAGUGCACUUACUUAUUUACACAAGUAUCUUGCACUGUUUCAGAGAAAUGACCCAUUUGCAAUGCUGCUCCAUCCCCUGGAGAGUGCUGGGUUUCUAAUGAGAUCCAGGGCAGAGUGGCUUAAAGGAUUAGGAACUGAAGUCACUGGGAGUCUGGGGAAGGAAGAAGCCAGCGCUGGAUCAAGACAAAACACUGUCCUGGGCUGUGGGCAUGGAAGAGCAGCAGCCAUGUACAGCUGCAACUUAAAGCAGGAGGCUUCCCUAGGACUGCUUUGGCAGCCGCGGGACUGCGGAGACGGAGAACUCCCAACAGCAUGAAGAGAGUGAGCCUGCAGUGCCGAGGUGUGCGAGUGCCCCUCCGAGCCCUGAGGGAAGAGCUGUUGUAUCAAGGCUGAUCUGACACCCAUUCAGUCACGCCUGAGAAAUGAGAAAGACCCUGCUCCGGCUGCUGCUGUGAGCCAACACCGUGUCUCAUCCAGCUCCUCAGGAUCAAUACCUGGAGAGAAGUCAGCUAUUGACCUGUUUCCUGAGCAAAACUACACCGGAAUUAUGAAUCCAUGCACACUGCAGGGACUCGGGAGAGGUCUUCUCAAUGAACCUUCAGAUACAGUUGGAAUCAUCAAUACCCUUUCAUCCUUCAAAGCAAAGUUUGUGCUAGGAGAAAAGAAAUGAGAUUAUUUCCACGGCCACGCUAUCAUCUUCCCUUUUCAGUGGGAGACUGCCAGCACCACCACAAAAUAAGCAAAGCCCAGCAACACUUCAGCUACUCUCCCUCUACAAUCCAAAGAAAUCUGCCACUGUAAAACUUAAUUCAAACAGCUUUCGAGUUACAAGGCUUGCCUUGUUCAACUUCAGGUAAGUUUGGAUGAGUCAAAGCUCAAGAUUUUAAAAGAAAGGAGGAAAAAAAGGGAAAAAAAGCCAAAGGAAAAAGUAGACACCGAUAGUGGAAACUGUUUUGCAAUCACUGGCACAAUAAAUGAGCCUUUUCAGUUUGAACAGGCCACAGGAUGCUGCACUACUGCUCAAAGUAGCCGGGCUUGUAUGCUCAGGAGAAGAGAGAAGGGAUCUGUUAAAAAAGCCCCCAGUUUAUAGGAAUAAACCCUGUUCUCCAGAGGGUGUGUUUAAAUGUGCUUUGCAUUUUAAUCUCGGAAGAAGAAAGGUUUGCCUAAUAGCCCGAGCAAAGCAUAUUAUUUGAAUAUUGAACGAUAGUUCAGCUGCUUCUCUAUCUGAUUAUCCCAGUCUUUCCCAUGAGCAUUUACAUCAUGCUAAAACUUCCAAACAGAAUCCCAGACUGGUUUGGGUUGGAAGGCACCUUAAAGCCUGUCCAGUUCCACCUCCUACCUACGGGCAGGGACACUUUCCACUGUCCCAGGCUGCCCCAAGCCCCGUCCAACCUUGCCUUGGACACUGCCAGGGAUCCAGGGGCAGCCACAGCUUCUCUGGGCACCCUGCUCCAGAAGAGAGGCUGAACUUGUGUGGGUUCCUCUGUUCAGCCACCCGAAGGGAUUUCACCUAAAGCCAGAGAAUAGCUUUGGUAAAUUUUGCUGUAGUUUUUCAAACAGGUUGGUUUUCUGAUAUUCUUAACAUACUGGCAUGUGAGAGGUUAACUACAGAGUUCUCUGAAAGGCAGUUAAAGAAGACAAAUGCAGUCCAAAGGCCUGGUGCUACCUCUCCUGCUGUACAGAAAUGGAGAGUAAAGGAAGAACACAGACACAGUGGAUUAGGUGCAAGAGGCAGGUAUGGAUUCAGGAAUGCUGAAGCCCUGUUGACAGCCUGAGGUUUUCAACCACGUAAUUUUCCAAGCAGAAAAUACUUGUGAGUUAUACUCAUCUCCCCAUGUCCAGGGUUGUUUUGCUCAGACCUGCAGCUGCCAUGAAAUAAAUGGCCAAUGACUAAAAACUGAAUUAUUCCCCCUUUACCUGCAGGGGAAGCACCCGAGCGUUCCUGGAGCAGGCAGAAAAACACCUGGCAGUUCAGCACAGGCCUAGUCUCAAACUUCCUGGUCUAUCCACAGGUCUCAAAACACUUUACAGAUGUGCUCCUCUUAUCCACUCAAAACAUUCCUGAUUUCUCUGAUGCACACUGCUCCUUCACAGUCUCUUGCUCCAGACUACAGAGGAGAAGGAAGAGGCUCAUUGCACAGGUACAAACAUGUUCCUGGAGAUCAACCUGCUCCCAAUGGCAAGAUGUGACUUGGAAGGAGGAAAAAACGUGAGCCCAGCUCCUCCUGGCACCUGGAACUGUUCUGGUAUGUGAGAAGUCAUCUGGCCCUGCUUUCCUUUUGCUUUCUUAACCUUCCAGAACAAAACGGGAUUAGAGGAAAGGCGUUCACAAGUGGAAAUUUUGGCUGGGCAGUCAUUCAUCCUGUGCUAGCUCUUUCCCACUGCCAGGGCUAGUUGUAAAUUAAUGUAACACAAUAAGUAGAAACUGAAUUUUGAGCUAUAGGGGAAGAGGGAAGAGCAAAGGAUAUUCUCCAUGUGUCAAGGCUGACUCAGGAUUAAGGACAUUUUUUUGUGGGACAUACACCCUCCUUGUGAUCUCACACAGGAUGGUGAUAUCCAGCAAAGCAUACAAAGGAUGUUUUCUGCUUUCCCCCUUGCUCAGUUUUCCUGGGAGUAUCGUGUGGAAAAAAAAGAGCUACGAAUCUGCAGAAGGAGGUCUUCAACACUCUCUUUAGAUGGUGCUUAAACCCAGAGCCUUUUCAGAGGGCCUUUAGAUUGAUUUCUUAGGAAGAAAAAAAAAAACCAACCAAACUAAUUUGUGAUUAGAAGGCACAAAGAUGUUCACUCAGAUGGAAGCAUUCCUGAAAAGCAAGGGGAAAACUACCCAAGCAAUUCAUUCAGCUGCCCUAAAGGGUAAACGGCAAACUUGAGGACCAUCCACAAACCCUGAUUAUUAUUACUAUUAUUAUUAUUAACAGUUUGACCAAAAGCUUAUGGGUUUUGUAUUUUUCUUUGUACUCCUGGAAGCUGAUGAACUAAAACAACGUGUUUGACACCAAAACAAGGAGGAGGGUCCCCCUGCAGCAACACAAGGCUAAACAUUCCUCCCUCUCCUGCAGCCUGCGGAGCUGCCUGAGCCCGGGAAUAUGUUUUGCCUUUACAAAAAGCAUGUAGUAUGUUUAAUUGGGUCUUUCCUUGCAGGCCGCUGGAAGUAGCAGUCUGGGGAGCUGUUGUUGACUUGCAGCAGUAAUUGUGGAAGGACUGGUGGCCAGGAUAAAGAACACUUACUCGGGGGCUUUGCUUUGCAUUCCCGUUCCCAACACAGCCUCUGGAGACUACAGGUGAGAUGGAGAAGCUGCACAGACAAAUCACUGGAACCCAAAGAAUUAAUCAGAAGGUGAAGUUACACCACACUGUCACUGUAACAAGCACCCAAGCCUUGAUUACAGCCUGCCAUCAAGAGAACCACAGGAUCUGGACAAAAAAAAAUAUUACAAGAGGCUUAGCAUUUAAUGCUCUAAAGCACUAAAUCCACAGCAAAUCCUCCUGAAUCUAAAUAUGCCUAAAAUAUAUUUUAACUUAUUUUUUUUAAGUUUUCACAAAUGCCAUCUUAUGCUCCCAGAAAACUAAGCUCCGCUGUUACUUUUGCUUUCUCGGUAGUCCGCAAAUCAGGUGCCCUUUUGGCACCCCAAAAGCUCUUUCCAAAAAAACUGCAAGCAAGUAAGCACUUAUUUGGAUUUAUCUCCUCUUUUAAACCCAAGUUACCCAAAAGUGUCCUGCAGAUUACAGCUGAUAGAAGCAGAACUUUUUGGGGGUGGUUCAAGAAAGCUUGCUUGGAAAUUGUGCAUGAUACUGAUGCCUAAUUUUAUCACUUAAAACCCCAGGGAAGGUUUUAAUAAGAAAAAAGAAAUACACUCCCCCAUUUGUGCACGUUGACUCGAACAAAAAAGCCAGUGGCUGCUGUGAUUUACCUAACUGUAAGUUUUAAUUCUUGGUGGUUUAGUUUUAAAUUAAGUAGAGACUUAACCAGUGUGGAAAUUAAUUAAUUUUUCUCCACUGGUGCCUUUUCAUUCUCCUAACAGAGUCCACACACACACACACCCUGGGAUCACUUUCUGGCUUAUUUCUCCUAUGACUGGUGUGAAAGCUAAACUUGGUCAAAAGCCUGCCUGGCUUUUUGCAAAACCAAGGUUGUUAAUGGAAAACAACAGUAUAAUCCCAGUUUAUCCCAUGAAAUGGAAGUCUUAUCAACACCUUCGGGUGGAAAGAGAACAGCCGUAAUGUCACUUACUUCCACAAG